rnacentral:rRNA from 1 species
CAGCCGCCGCGGGAAUACGGAGGGCGCGAGCAUUACCCGGAUUUACUGGGCGUAAAGGGCGUGUAGGCGGCCUGGGGCGUCCCAUGUGAAAGGCCACGGCUCAACCGUGGAGGAGCGUGGGAUACGCUCAGGCUAGAGGGUGGGAGAGGGUGGUGGAAUUCCCGGAGUAGCGGUGAAAUGCGCAGAUACCGGGAGGAACGCCGAUGGCGAAGGCAGCCACCUGGUCCACUUCUGACGCUGAGGCGCGAAAGCGUGGGGAGCAAACCGGAUUAGAUACCCCCGUAGUCCCUGUCUCUUAUAC